UACGAAGGGGGCUAGCGUUGCUCGGAAUCACUGGGCGUAAAGCGCACGUAGGCGGAUUGCUAAGUCAGGGGUGAAAUCCUGGAGCUCAACUCCAGAACUGCCUUUGAUACUGGCGAUCUUGAGUCCGGGAGAGGUGAGUGGAACUCCGAGUGUAGAGGUGAAAUUCGUAGAUAUUCGCAAGAACACCAGUGGCGAAGGCGGCUCACUGGCCCGGUACUGACGCUGAGGUGCGAAAGCGUGGGAGCAAACAGG
rnacentral:rRNA from 1 species